GUGUUGAAUGAAAGGAGAGACAGUUAGCAUUUCACUUGAUAAAGAUGGAAUGCCCUCUGGUCCUCAACACAAAUAUAUAUACAGUAGAUCCCCCUAUAAGACGGUAGAUACGUUCCGUUCUUU